rnacentral:rRNA from 1 species
UACGUAGGGUGCGAGCGUUGUCCGGAAUUAUUGGGCGUAAAGAGCUCGUAGGCGGCUUGUCACGUCGGUUGUGAAAGCCCGGGGCUUAACCCCGGGUCUGCAGUCGAUACGGGCAGGCUAGAGUUCGGUAGGGGAGAUCGGAAUUCCUGGUGUAGCGGCGAAAUGCGCAGAUAUCAGGAGGAACACCGGUGGCGAAGGCGGAUCUCUGGGCCGAUACUGACGCUGAGGAGCGAAAGCGUGGGGAGCGAACAGG